AACGAACGCUGGCGGCAUGCCUAACACAUGCAAGUCGAACGAGACCUUCGGGUCUAGUGGCGCACGGGUGCGUAACGCGUGGGAACCUGCCCUUAGGUUCGGAAUAACUCCCCGAAAGGGGUGCUGAUACCGGAUAAUGUCUUCGGACCAAAGAUUUAUCGCCUUUGGAUGGGCCCGCGUUGGAUUAGCUAGUUGGUAGGGUAAAAGCCUACCAAGGCGACGAUCCAUAGCUGGUCUGAGAGGAUGAUCAGCCACACUGGGACUGAGACACGGCCCAGACUCCUACGGGAGGCAGCAGUGGGGAAUAUUGGACAAUGGGCGAAAGCCUGAUCCAGCAAUGCCGCGUGAGUGAUGAAGGCCUUAGGGUUGUAAAGCUCUUUUACCCGGGAUGAUAGUGACAGUACCGGGAGAAUAAGCUCCGGCUAACUCCGUG
rnacentral:rRNA from 1 species